rnacentral:rRNA from 1 species
UACGUAGGGUGCGAGCGUUAAUCGGAAUUACUGGGCGUAAAGCGCGUGUAGGCGGUCCGGUAAGUCGGUUGUGAAAGUCCAGGGCUCAACCCUGGGAUGCCGACCGAUACUGUCGGACUAGAGUUCGGAAGAGGCGAGUGGAAUUCCCGGUGUAGCGGUGAAAUGCGCAGAUAUCGGGAGGAACACCAAUGGCGAAGGCAGCUCGCUGGGACGUUACUGACGCUGAGACGCGAAAGCGUGGGGAGCAAACAGG